rnacentral:rRNA from 1 species
AUUGAACGCUGGCGGCAGGCCUAAUACAUGCAAGUCGAACGAGGGGCGGACGGGUGAGUCAUGUCGGGGAAACAGCCUGAUGGCGGGGGAAAACUAAUGGAAACGGUGGCUAAUACGGAAUACCAUCAGAUGAGCCAAGAUGGGAUUAGCUAGUUGGUUGGGUAACGGCUCACAAAGGCGACGAGCCCUAGCUGGUCUGAGAGGAUGACCAGCCACACUGGAACUGAGACACGGUCCAGACUCCUACGGGAGGCAGCAGUGGGGAAUAUUGCACAAUGGGCGCAAGCCUGAUGCAGCCAUGCCGCGUGGCUGAAGAAGGCCUUCGUGUUGUAAAGUACUUUCAGCGGGGAGGCGUUACCCGCAGAAGAAGCACCGGCUAACUCCGUGCCAGCAGCCGCGGUAAUUC